AGACUUAACUCUAAAACAUUCUAUUUCUUUUGUGAGGUCAUCUAUCAGGUUCUUUUCUGUAGAAGUUUUUCUGUUUUAUAUACACCAUCAAAAAAUGCCUGCAGAAAUGAAUUCAACAGAUCUUGGCUGCCUACCAUACCAAGCACCAGUGGGUAAUGAUGGGGAACAACUUUUGGUCCAAAGGAUUGGAGAGUCUGGUCCCUGGUUCCUAUGCAUGUGGGUCCUACCCAGUGCUUGAAGCCCUCUUUUACUUCAUGAACAUGAAUUGAUGCCUUGAACAAAAGAGGACUCCAUAACGGGAUUUCACUGAAUUAACAAUUCACCUUUUGCUUUUCCAAAUGAUGAAUGUUUUUACACAGGGCAAGCUUCUGGCCAGAGGGCCUUUUCCCCUAAAAACUUAUUACAGAACAAAAUUCUAGUGAUCUCAAGCUCUGAAUGGAGACACAAGAAGUACCAUCAGGCAGAAUACAUUUCUCUUAGUAGGGAUUUGGAGAAAUGUGAAGGUAAACAGCGGAAAGCUACAGCCGAAAGCUUCAACUGGCAGCCCAUACAAAGAUACUGUCUACACGUGAUCUCAAAUAUUUUUUCAGUUGACUGAGAAAACUGAGACUAAGAAUCUCCAUGCAUAUCAGUGAAGGAGACUUUUAAAACAUUCUGAGGAUAUUUUUCUUCAAAGUAGCUUUGGGAAAUGUUCUUAAGUCACCAUUAAUGCAGCAGCAGGCAUAUAGUCACUUAAGACAUCCCAAGAAUUUACCCUUUGCAGAGCAAGUGAACCAGUUUCUGAGGACUGUUAGCUUUGGAUUGGAAGCAAGACUUCAAUUCUGAUCAGUUUUCUUGUAAAGUUUCCAAAGUUGACUAAAUGCUAGUUUGACUACAUACCUGAAGAAGAUAGAUCUGAUUGCAAACCAAACUCUCACCAUUAAUAAAGAAAUAAAG